UACGAAGGGGGCUAGCGUUGUUCGGAAUUACUGGGCGUAAAGGGCGCGUAGGCGGUGUGUCAAGUCAGGCAUGAAAGCCCCGGGCUCAACCUGGGAACCGCGCUUGAGACUGGCACGCUCGAGUUCGGGAGAGGAUGGUGGAAUUCCCAGUGUAGAGGUGAAAUUCGUAGAUAUUGGGAAGAACACCGAUGGCGAAGGCAGCCAUCUGGACCGACACUGACGCUGAGGCGCGAAAGCGUGGGGAGCAAACAGG
rnacentral:rRNA from 1 species